rnacentral:rRNA from 1 species
CACGUAGGGCGCAAGCGUUGUCCGGAAUUAUUGGGCGUAAAGAGCGUGUAGGCGGCCAGAUAAGUCCGCUGUGAAAUCUCGAGGCUCAACUUCGAGCUGUCGGUGGAAACUGUCUGGCUAGAGUCCGGAAGAGGAGAAUGGAAUUCCUGGUGUAGCGGUGAAAUGCGCAGAUAUCAGGAGGAACACCGGUGGCGAAGGCGGGUCUCUGGGCCGGAACUGACGCUAAGGAGCGAAAGCGUGGGGAGCGAACAGG